ACUCAGAAGACCAGGAAAACUAUACCUCGGGGAAUCCAGUGAUGGUAGCAAAAGGCAUCUGGUAUUGUCCUUCUACCACUGUCUUAAAAGGGAUUCUAAAGGGAUUUUCUUUCCCUUGUUCCUCCAGCCCUACACUUGCAUUACUGGCCUAAGUGGAUACUCACCAGCUGGCCGUGUCCAUCAUUACAGCCAAGUCUGAGAAUUCCUGAUUAUACUUAGAGUCAGUGGAGCUGCUGACACAAACAGUCAUUAGCAGACGACCCUUUUGGAACAAACUAUGCUUUAAAAUGUAAACUGGGGGGGGGGGGGCAUUUUCCUUGCGUUGUCCAGAAAGAACUUUCUGCUGCCUGAGCCUGGAUUAAUCAUGAGAGAGCUUGUCAACAUUCCACUGGUACAUAUUCUUACUUUGGUUGCCUUCAGCGGGACUGAGAAACUUCCAAAAGCCCCUGUCAUCACCACUCCUCUUGAAACAGUGGAUGCCUUAGUUGAAGAAGUGGCUACUUUCAUGUGUGCAGUGGAAUCCUAUCCUCAGCCUGAAAUUUCCUGGACCAGAAAUAAAAUUCUCAUUAAGCUCUUUGACACCCGGUACAGCAUUCGGGAGAACGGUCAGCUCCUCACCAUCCUGAGCGUGGAAGACAGCGAUGACGGCAUUUACUGCUGCAUAGCCAACAAUGGCGUGGGAGGAGCUGCCGAGAGUUGUGGAGCUCUGCAAGUGAAGAUGAGAAAGCUCACCCAUUCAGAACCUAAAAUAACUCGUCCUCCCAUAAACGUAAAAAUAAUAGAAGGAUUAAAGGCAGUUCUACCAUGUACUACAAUGGGCAAUCCCAAACCAUCAGUGUUGUGGAUCAAGGGGGACAGUGCUCUCAGGGAAAACUCCCGCACUGCGGUUCUUGAAUCCGGGAGUUUAAGGAUUCAUAAUGUGCAAAAGGAAGAUGCAGGACAUUAUCGAUGUGUGGCAAAAAACAGCCUCGGGACGGCAUAUUCCAAAUUGGCGAAGCUGGAAGUUGAGGCUCUUAAUAUGACAAAUGCCACAGAGAGAGAAGAGAGUGAACCUGAGCAAGAUACUAAAGUUUUUGCCAGAAUCCUGCGGCCUCCUGAAUCCCACAACGUCACCUUUGGCUCCUUUGUGACCCUGCGCUGUACAGCAACAGGCAUCCCUGUCCCCACCAUUACCUGGAUUGAAAAUGGAAACGCUAGUCCAGGCUGCUUAUCUGGGGAAAAUGCCACAAUACUUGAUCUGACCUGGGACGUUUCCCCAGUUAAGACAGAAAGAUCUCUUUCAAGGCUACCAUGGUACUCAUCCCUACUCCUCCAAGAUAAGGUCAAGGUUUCUUCUGGGUCCAUUCAAGAAAGUGUGAAAGACCGAGUAAUUGACUCAAGACUGCAGCUGUUUAUCACCAUGCCAGGACUCUACACAUGCAUAGCUACUAAUAAGCAUGGAGAGAAAUUCAGUACUGCAAAGGCUGCAGCCACCAUCAGUAUAGCAGAUUUCCUGUGGAAACUUCCUUUCCUGUUACUAGAAUGGAGUAAACCACAGAAAGAUAACAAGGGCUACUGCGCCCAGUACAGAGGGGAGGUGUGUAAUGCUGUCCUGGCAAAAGAUGCUCUUGUUUUCUUCAACAACUCCUACGCAGACCCUGAGGAGGUCCAAGAACUACUGGUCCACACUGCCUGGAAUGAACUGAAAGCAGUGAGCCCAUUCUGCAGGCCGGCUGCUGAAGCUUUACUGUGUAACCACAUCUUCCAAGAAUGUAACCCUGGGGUGGCACCUACUCCUACACCCAUUUGCAGAGAAUACUGCCUGGCAGUAAAGGAGCUCUUCUGUGCAAAAGAAUGGCUAGCGGUGGAAGAAAAGACGCACAGGGGACUCUACAGAUCUGGGAUACAUCUGCUCUCCAUGCCGGACUGCAACAAACUCCCCAGCAUGCACUGGGACCCCAUGGCCUGUACCAGACUGCCAUAUUUAGAUUAUAAAAAAGAAAACCUAACAACAUUCCCACCAAUGACGUCCUCAAAGCCGAGUGUGGACAUUCCAAACGUGCCUUCCUCCUCCCUGUCCUCCUCCUCUGUCUCACCUACAUACUCCAUGACCGUAAUAAUCUCCAUCAUGUCCAGCUUUGCCAUAUUCGUGCUUCUUACCAUAGCCACUCUUUAUUGCUGCCGAAGACGAAAACAAUGGAAAAAUAAGAAAAGAGAAUCGGCGGCUGUAACCCUCACUACUCUUCCUUCUGAGCUCUUGCUAGACAGACUUCAUCCCAACCCCAUGUACCAGAGGAUGCCACUUCUUUUGAAUCCCAAAUUGCUCAGCCUGGAGUAUCCCAGGAAUAAUAUUGAAUAUGUGAGAGAUAUCGGAGAGGGAGCAUUUGGAAGGGUCUUUCAAGCAAGGGCUCCAGGCUUACUUCCCUAUGAACCUUUCACAAUGGUGGCAGUGAAGAUGCUCAAAGAAGAAGCCUCAGCAGAUAUGCAAGCAGACUUUCAGAGGGAGGCAGCCCUCAUGGCAGAAUUUGAUAAUCCUAACAUUGUGAAACUCUUAGGCGUGUGUGCGGUGGGGAAGCCGAUGUGCCUGCUCUUUGAAUACAUGGCCUACGGGGACCUCAAUGAGUUCCUCCGCAGCAUGUCCCCUCACCCCAGACGCAGCCUCAGUCCCAGCGACCUGACCCGCGGGGCGCAGGCCUCCAGCCCCGGCCCGCCGCCCCUUUCCUGUGCCGAGCAGCUGUGCAUCGCCAGGCAGGUGGCCGCCGGCAUGGCCUACCUCUCCGAACGCAAGUUUGUCCACCGGGAUUUGGCCACCAGAAACUGCCUUGUGGGUGAGAACAUGGUGGUGAAAAUCGCCGACUUUGGCCUCUCUAGAAACAUCUACUCAGCUGACUACUACAAAGCCAACGAAAACGACGCCAUCCCCAUCCGUUGGAUGCCCCCGGAGUCCAUCUUCUACAACCGCUAUACCACGGAGUCUGAUGUGUGGGCCUACGGGGUGCUCCUGUGGGAGAUCUUCUCCUACGGCCUGCAGCCCUACUACGGGAUGGCCCACGAGGAGGUCAUCUGCUACGUGCGGGACGGCAACAUCCUCUCCUGCCCAGAGAACUGCCCCCUGGAACUGUACAAUCUGAUGCGUCUGUGUUGGAGCGAGCUGCCUGCAGACAGGCCCAGUUUCACCAGCAUCCACCGAAUCCUGGAACGCAUGUGUGAGCGGGCAGAGGGGAGUGUGGGUGUCUGAGGUCGAAGAUGGGCAGGUGGAACUCUCCAGUCUCCUCUCGGACUCUAGGAGCCAGGGGAGUCCAACAUCAGAAGGCCCAAGGAAACCCAGAUAGGAAAUAAUAGUAGCAGGCAUGGGUACCAUGCUGUUUGUUUCUCAAAAAAAAAAAAAAAAAAGCCUGGGCAGAACUCCUGGGGUGGGUGGAAAGUGGGUGAUGGGAAAGGCAGGGGAGGAAAAAUGUCAGAUAAUUGGAGAUAACUACUCUUCCUCAUGGGGAAAGUUUGUAUUACAUACUGUACAGGAAAGAAUGUCAUCCUGUUCAGUUCCUGAAUUGGCUGGCAGCAGAGUAAGACUCUGCUGUAUUAAAUUUUGAUACAAAAUGCAGCUGAGAGCUCCAUUUUUAAUAGAGUUCAUUCCCGUCCAUUAGGAAAGUAGCGUAUCUUCCUGUAAGAAGUUUAGCUCAAGCACAGAAAACUACAAAGAAGGAAAAACCAUUUAUCGUCUCCUCACCCAAAGACGGGUGUUGAUUUUUUAUUCAAUAUUUCUUGAGUUUAACUCACACUUUUAUAUUUGUUUGUAUUCUACAGAGUUGUGGCUUACUUUAUUGAUAGAAGGUUUCCAAGGAAUAAAAUGAUAAAUCAGCAAGGCUAUAUUCUUAUUGUGAUAAGAAAUAAGUUCCCUUUUUCUGUCUUUGUGUUUCUUCUUUAGAAGUUUUUCCUUUGUGUGCACUUGUCAUGAACUUAAUCUGCUUAUUUUAUUCCUACAUUUUCUUUUCUGAAAAAAUCUUUUGUGGCUAAUUAAUUUACCUUUUCCUUUGAAAGUUUUUUUGGUACUUUUUCUUUGCUCUUAUCUUUAUUUCUUCCUUUUUUCAGAACUCGGUUCUUUUUUGGUUAUUUAGCUAUUUUUUCUUUUUAUUUCAUCCAUACAACAAACACCCUGGCAGAAAUAAUAACUUUCUGAAUAACAUUGUGGACUAUUACAUAUAUACCUUUUGCAAAGUAUUACCAUUUUCUUCUGCACUUGCUUUUGAAGCCACACAUUUUAAAGUUGUCAUUCAUUAAUUUUAUUGCCACAGUCUAUUAAAUCUCUUUAUAAAGCAUAGUUUAUAAUAUGGGAUUUUACAAGAUGCUCUUGUGGCUCUGAGUUAUUGCAAACCUGAUGUUUGUGCAUUCUGACAUUUUUUUCCUUCUAGAAACCAAUUUGAUAGGCAGUAGAAUUAAUGUAGGGCUGCUUAUCAACUUUCUGCAUGACUAUUCACCUAUCUUGUUACAUCUUAUGAUUCUUACAAAGAAAAAAAAAAACCCUCUGGAAGUCAGAUUCUUGGUGCACAAGAUUUCUCAGUGGUGCCCACACAAUAUAGCUUUAUCUGAGGCCAACAUGGAUGAUAUGAGUCUCUCCUGAUAUAGUGUGAACCCAAAUUCUCCCGAAAAGCAAAUAAACAGGGAAGAGAAAAUAGCAGUCUACCCUAUAUCAGCUUACUUUCAUUCAACCUAAUUGGUAGUUAGGGCAAUGGAGAAAUGGUCUGAAUUCUUGAAAGUAGAUUUUCAACUGCUUCUGGAAGUCUCUACCUAAAAUCUCCAAAUGCAGCUGCAUGCAAAAACUUUCUCAUCUUUGCUGGAAAACCUGCCAUUUUCUUGUUCAUAGUCAUUCCAGGCAACCAAGACAAAAACACAGACUUGUCCCUCUCCUUCACCCAUGAAAACUCUAUCAGUUUACUUUCUAAAAUUCUCCUGGACACACCACCUCCCCUUCAAUCUGGCUGCCCAUUACGCACACUCUAUCACUGCCUGUUGUCUCAUCUUUCUACCAUUUCAUGGCAGAGAAGAUUCCAUGGGCUAUGACAAUAUGUGCUUACUAACAAUUCUGAUUUACAAAUAAGGAAGCCAGAAGUUAGCACUGAGACCUUGAGAGGUGCCUUAGGUUAAAGUCAUGAUGGUAAGUCCAAAGUUAAGACAGUCAUCCAAAGGGCUAGAUGAGGAAUAAGGUUGCAGCAUGAGUCAAGCAGGCAAGCGGCCAGCAAAGCAGAAAACUUGGAGAGGGCCACCAUCAAGGCUGGAAGUUUCCAUAGUUAUCCAUGGCAUGACACAUGUGUGUGUCAUAUAUGCUCUGCAAACGUCAAAGACGUCUUCAGUUUUCCUCAGCUGACAGAGUUUUAUUAUAAAAGAAAGACAUGGAAGUCAGGCCAUUCAGAAAAACUACUCCAUAGAAAAGCAGGGUCAGGACAGUUAGAGGUUACUUGGAGGACCUGCCAUUGGGGCUAGUGCUGCUGGGAACGUGUUGCCCCUCAGAACGGUUUCCAUUGCCCUGUUCUACUGUCUGCUGCUUCGAGCUGUGCUCUGUUUCCCUCCCCAUUGCUGGAUAACUGCCCUUACUUUCCUGUCUCUUCUGCAUGCCUUCCACAGCCUCAUAGAUUCUCUGUGUGUGUUUUAGGCUCUGCUAUUUAAGAUUUCAAAGCAAAAAAGUCAGAGAGACAUAGGUAAAUACAGUGAGUGAAUGAGUACGUGAGCAAGCAAGGAACUGUUAUAUAGACCAUCCAAUUUUACUAACUAUUUAAAGGAACUGAAAACUAAAAUAACAACUAGAAAUCCCAUUAUAGUAACAAUAGUAAUAAGAGUAAUACCAUCAGCUAGCAUUUACUGAAUGCUUACUCUAAGGCAUAUAUAUAUAUAUAUAUUUUAAGCUGGUAGGAAUAUUUAAUUGGCAUUUUGAUAAAUUGGCAGAGUCUGCUGGCUGUGGACUAGUGUAAGAGUGAAAAAAUCCUGGAGGGUACAGAUUUAAAGAAACUCCAUAACUUUUGUGAGAUUUACCUCCAAGAACUUAACCAGGUAUCAUGUAACAAAGUCCUACAUUACAUGGGAAAGAAUUUGACAGUCUUGUCUCAGCUAGUGGAAGAUAAUUACUGCUUAGUCCAGAUUCUUCCAGCUUUUAUGUCUCACCUAAGGAGAAACAUUUCAGCUAAAAGGGGUGAGGACUUCAAGGACAUAGAUUGGGGAUGAUAUAGCUAGGGAAGCAAGUAAGUAGCAGUGGGGAGAAAGCUAUAUACAGGAGAAACACUUCUGAAGGUUAAAGGCUCUGAUGAAAAAAAAAGUAGACAACAUGUAAGAACAGAUAGGUAAUAUAAACAGAGAUAUUGAAAGUCUAAAAAAAUGCUAGAAAUAAAAAUACUGUAAUGAAAAUGAAGGAUAUUUUUCAUGGACUCAUCAGUAGAAUGGACAUAGCUGAGAAAAGAAUCAGGGAGCUUGAAGAUACGUCAGUGGAAAUGCCCACAACUGAAAUGUAACAAGAAAAGAAAAGAGCCCUGAAUAUCCAACAACUGUGGGACAAUUUCAAAAGGUGUAACAUGCACAAUUAGAAUACCAGAAGGAAAAGAAUAAGACUAGAACACAAGAAAUAUUUGAAGUAAUAUUUGCAAAGAAUAUUUCAAAAUUAAUGACAAACACAAAACCACAAAUGCAGGAAGUUCAUGCAGAACAAACACCAAAAUUUCUGUACCUAGGCAUAUCAUAUUAAACUGAAGAAUACUGAAGACAAAGAUAAAAAUUUGAAAGUAGCCUGAAGGGGGCCAGGAGGGAAUGAGACAACCUACGAGUAUAAGAAUUACAUCGAACUUCUCUAUAAAGCACACAAGUGAGGAAACAGGCACAGAGAGAUUGUGUAACUGGCCUUAAGCACACAGAGCAGCAGAGCCUAGGUUGUGACCAAAAGACGCUGAACUCUCAAUCAUCAUGCUGAGGUGCUUCCAAUGAUUACAGAGGGAACAAGUGAAUCACAAUGACUCUGUGGAGGUGAGUUGUAAUUUGCAUGUAGUUUCAAAGCAUACACCAUACCCCUUAUACUCCUGAUUUCCUAUCCCAGUCUUUUCAUUGAAUAGCAAAAAAGUAUAUUUUAGCACUGUCAAUUUAAUAAAAAAAUCCAAUUGAUGGCAUGUGUAUUUUUUUUGUUAGCUCUAAAUGCAUUUUCAAGUUUUGUCGAGAUCACUGUCUUAUUUCCUUAGUGGUCAUCACAAGGUUCUCUAUCUCAGGGACAUGGGCCCAGUAUUUACCAGUAUUGUUUUCCUUUUUAAAUACAGAUUUUUUUUUCCCCAUUGUAAAAUCAUUGUAUAACUUCAAAAAGAUCAGGAGAGAGACUCACAGGGUCAUUGUUACCAAGUGUCAGGACAGGCACCAGUGAAGCACCCACAGGUGAUGUUAAAUGGUUGAAUAUCAAACAAGACAAGAGUUCCAGGGCACCAAAAGAACACAUUCCCUGGUAUCGUGAUAGAGCAGAAAAGGAGCACUCCUUCCACUUUGCAGGAUAUUAUAAACCUGUUCUAUAUCAUUAACUAUUUUUCUAAAAGUUCAGUUUAAUUUCUGAAUAAUAUUCCAUUUUAUGGAUAUACCAUAAUUUAAUUAAUUUCUUAUUUUUAAAAUAUUUGAGUUUAAGUGAAACAUUUGAGUUUUUUCCAGUUUUCGCUAUUAGAAACAAUACUCUAUUGGUCAUCCUCAUUUGCACAAGCCUAUAAUUAUCUCCUAUGGAAAUUCUGAAAAAGGGAAUAUCCAAGCCAAAUGGCAUGAACAAAAUUAAGGCUUUUGUUUGUGUCGUCAUAUUCUCUAGAAACACUGUUCCCAUCUCUGCGUUGUACAACGGAUCUCAUAGCCCUAAACAUUUGCUGUCAUACAUAGAGAAUUAAUUCUCUAUUUUUUAGAAGGCUUUUUUCUACUUGGUUAUAGAAAAAGAUGAUCUCAUUUUGAUUUUAUUUUUAAAUUACUAGUGAGGUUGAAUUUUUCUUGUUCCCAGGUCAUUUAUAGUUCUCAUUUGGGGAAUUAUCUAUAACUCAUUUUUCUAUUGCAUAGUUCAUUUUCUAAUUGAUUUGUAAGUCAUUUUAUUUAAUAAAUAGUAAACCUUCAUCAUACGUUGCACAAAAGAGAAAAUACAUACAUACUUUUAUUUUAAAAUAGCAUUUGCUUUAUCAUUGCAAAAGCAAUAUUUGUUUAUUUUUUUAAAAAAGAAUAAUAAGCAACAAUAUACAAAUAAUAAAGAAAAUGAAAAAACACCAACCAGUGGUAACUAACAUUAACUCAUGAUAAAUAUUGUUCCAGUCUUUUUCAUGUAGGUAGGUAGGUAAAUAGGUAGAUGAGAGAUAGAGCUAUAGAGAGACAGACAGAUAGAUAAUCCUUUAAAAUGAAAACAAGAUCAUACUGUUUUAUUGUUUAAAGCUUUGGUUUUAUCACUGAGUGUAUCAAACAUCUUCAAUAUCAACAAGUAUUCAUGUGCAACAUCACUUCUGAUGAGUGAAUAAUAUUCUAUUAUAUGAACUUACAAUUCACUUAACUAUUAUUCCAUUGUUGGACAUUUGGUUUAUUUCUAUUUUUUUGUUAUAAAAUACAGUAUUUUGAUAAUCCUGUUGCUAAAUUUUGUGAGCAUCUAUCUCGAGUGAUUUCUUAAUGUAUAAUUCCUAGAUAUAUCAAUAGAAUUUCUAGAUCAAAGGGUAUAUAUACUUUUAAUGCUUUUAAUACAUUGACAAAUUACUUCCUGAAUUAUUUUGUCAAUAUAUAAUCUUCCAGCUAGAUGAGAGCCUUUUUCUUUCAACCUCACCAAUACUGAGCACGAGCAUUUUAAUAAUUGCCAACGUAACAGUUUAAGUUUUUAUUUUGUAGCUUAUGCUUACAUUUCUUUAAAUAAGAUAAAGCUGAACACUUUUUCAAUGUUUUGAGGACAGUUGAUUUAUUCUGUGAUUUGCCUCCUAUUGUUAUUUUUCUAUUGGGUAUAUCUCUUUCUUAUUGCUUUAUAAAAAUGCUUUAUAUAUUGAGUUAAAGUUUGUCAUACAUGUUUCAACCACUUUUAUAAAGCUAAAAAUGUAUACUUCUAUUUGUCUUUUACUAUCAGAUUUUAUUAAUCAGGAAAGAAAGUUGAAUUUUCAGUCUACUGCGAUGAUUAUGGCUUUUUCCUUAAUCUGUCAACAUGUAGACAUGUAAGAAUUGAUUUCCUAAUGUUGAAAUGUUGUUAUGUUCUGACAAUAAAUGCUCUUUGGGGAUCACAUUAGUCUUUUAAUU